GUGUAAGAUCUGGGACUACAUUCUAUUUUCUGUAAAUUGUGCAGAGCAAAUGUGUGGUGACCGUUUUUUCCCCCUCAGAUUUUAAUCUACUGGAUAUGCCCAUAGACUUUGCAGGAAUAACAGCUGGUUCUGGAAACUGUUGGAGAUGUGACAUAAAGAAAGAGAAUAAACAUAAAACAUCAAUACUACUAUUUUGAAACACUGUGGUUUACUUUUCGGAAAGAGAAGAAAGGGCAAAGGGAUGGGAACUAAUAUAGAUAUACCAAAUUUUGUGCAACACACACCAUCCUUACAGAGUGCUGCAACCAAAAGCCAGAGAGAGUCUUGCCUUUCACAAUGCCAAAUCAAAAAGGUGAAUGCAUAGCCCACUCAGAGAAAUAAAGCUUAUGAAGACAGUCUUGGCUACAGGAGCCUGCUCAUCAUCCAAUAUCGUCCUCUUGGCUGUGGACCUUUUGAUGUAACACUGAAAUGAGAAUCAACCAACCUAAAUAUCUGUAACAAUAUCUGGGAAGAUGUAUAAUUCAGAAUUGCAUGAAGACAACAAAAGAUUAGUUGACACUUAGGACUGGCAAUUUUGUGUGUGCUCCUGUAACCCCAGCCACAUGUAACUCCAUGCCUGGAGAGUGUUCUGGAAUCUGGGCAUAUCUUCUCUAGAGUAUUCGACUUGUCUCUUGAAUGCCAUACAUGGCAAUUUUGUAUGCUGAAUUGUGUCCCCUCUCUCCAAAUUCAUAAGUUGACGUCUGAACCCUCAUUACUUGAGAAUAUAACUGCAUUUUGGAGAUAAGGUUUAUAAAGAGAUAAUUAAGUUAAAAUGAGGUCCUAACCCAAUCUGACUAGCAUCCUUCAGAGAAGAGGAAGAAAUGCCAGGGCUGUGAGUGCACAAAGGGUCAACUAUGUGAAGAGGCAUCAAGAGGGCAGCCAUCUGCAAGUCAGAGAGAUAAACCUUAGGAGAAACCAACUUGCCAGUGCCUUGAUUUUGGACUCGCUUCUUCAGAAAUGUGAGAAAAUAAAUUUUGUUGAUUAA